AAAGGAAGAAACUGAAGGCGCCUUGUCUCGACUCCAGCCAGCUUAGUUCUUUGGAGAAGCAGUGUGGAGUCCUAAAAAAGGAGGCUGAGUCUUACCGUUGAGGUCGGUGCCGGUAGAGAAUGGGAGGGAGUCUGCAGGAGCCAAGCACCCUAAAGAAGAGGAAGAGAGCACGUUGCUGAGAUUUGAACAGCGACCUGAGAGGUCAGACUGGACCCAGGCCUCCUCAAGGUUUUUAGGUUUUUGCCUGUUGCUCUUAGGGAUCCAGGGGCAGAGUUUUGCCUUAGGUGCUGAAGAUACUUCAUGCUGCCUAAUAUUCUACCGAGCCAGCCUAGGGGACUUGGAUCUGUCUCGCCUGGGGCUAAGAGAAUAGUUUCUCUAAGAAGAAAACAGUUCUAAUUCAAAGAUGCUGGAUCUGGCUUCCUUUAAAGCCUGAAGUCGCUGAAGUGGCCAUAGAACUAUGGGGUCCAGAGGACUGCCAGUCUCAGCCAGCCUUUAGGCUGGAGAGAGGCUGUGGGCCUGCUUGGGGACUAAAAUGGAUGAAUAAGAAACCUGUAAGAAAUGUAAACAGAUGGAAUGGCAAGGAGGAGAGCGCUGGAGAUUGUUCAGGUGUGAGCUGAGGUUUCUGAGUUUGUACUGGGGAUGCCUUUGCACACAGUGAGGUGCCCCCUCCCUAAGUGGCUCUUGUUUUGCACAAACAGCCCCACCCUGCGCACACACUGUGGGUCUCAGUAGGGACUGAGGGUGUAGGUGCUCAGGUUUUGGGGGUGGUGGUGAAGGGGCACUCAGAAUCAACAAGACAGGGCGGGGAAAAUCAAAAUCAACCAAGGAACCAGCCUUCCAUUUCUGAAAAGCCGCGCUCUGGCCCCCGUGCUUCAGUUCUGAAAUACGAAUAAAUGGAGUCAGAUCCCGUACUACACUCCGGGGACAGAGUUUUAAUGUAAACGUAAAAUAUGCUUGUAAUAAUCACUUGUGGGCCCUGAAGCGCCACUAGAAUGAAUCUCUGUUUAAUUAUAGGGCAUGAGAGGAGUAUUACCAGCUAAUUAAACCCCAUCCUAUUUGUAAUUCC
rnacentral:lncRNA from 1 species